rnacentral:rRNA from 1 species
GAUGAACGCUGGCGGCGUGCCUAACACAUGCAAGUCGAGCGAACAGACGAGGAGUUUGCCCCUCUGACGUUAGCGGCGGACGGGUGAGUAACACGUGGAUAACCUACCUAUAAGACUGGGAUAACUUCGGGAGACCGGAUCUAAUACCCGACAAUAUAUUGAACCGCAUGGUUCAUUAGUGAACGACGGUUUUGAUGACACUUAUAGAUGGUUCCGCGCCGCAUUAGCUAGUUGGUAAGGUAACGGCUUACCAAGGCGACGAUGCGUAGCCGACCUGAGAGGGUGAUCAGCCACACUGGAACUGAGACACGGUCCAGACUCCUACGGGAGGCAGCAGUAGGGAAUCUUGCGCAAUGGGCGAAAGCCUGACGGAGCAACGCCGCGUGAGUGAUGAAGGUCUUCGGAUCGUAAAGCUCUGUAAGUAGGGAGGAAGGAAAGUGUGAGUAUCUAUGCACGUCUUGACGGUACCUAAAGAAAAAGCCACGGCUAACUACGUG